UACCAUAUCACGUUGAAACACUAGCUCUCGUACGAUCACCGAAGGUAAGCAAUGUUAAGCCUGGUUAUUAUCUAGAUGAGUGACCGUUUGGCAAUACCAGGUGCAGUAAG